UGCAAUUCAGGCAGAAGGAAAGGGAUC
rnacentral:piRNA from 1 species